rnacentral:lncRNA from 1 species
UUUUUUCCUCCAUUCAUCAAAUACUCUUCCUAAUCUAGCUAAUAUAAUGGUCAGUUGACCUGCAUACCUGGGCGUUGUUUAACUCAUUCCUUUACCUGUGCAAAAUGAGUGUGCAAAGAAAAACACCUAUGUCUGUCUAUACAGAGACAUAAAACCUGAGUUUCAAUAAAAAGUUUCUAAUAUAAGAAAACUUCUUAAUGUAGGAAAAUAACUUUUAAAGGGCAAAAAAUACCUUUGUACAAUAUAAUCUGCUAACUUUAAAACUUCAGUGUGCAUAAGCAUCACAUAUUUUAUAGGAGCCAACAAAAAAAGCAACCAUUUACAAUUUUCUUAACUAUAGCUUAGAUACCCAUAUUUUAAUUUCUAAUGUCUAUUUUCAUUCCCCUGAAUUCAUUAACUUUUCUAAAAGAAAAAUGUUAAAAGCACAUUCAGAUAUGAGGACUGUGAUGAACAGUUCCUGCUUUUUUCUAAAUAUUGAGGACCUAGGAGAUAUGGGGUUGCUAGGCGUAUAACAAUGCCAAGCCACAAAGGAAUUCUAAAAUUCAAAAGAAAUAUAAUCUAUUUUUAAAAGAAACUAUUUGGAAAAAUAUUUUGUGGAUAGAGUUGGGUCAAAGUCUGCAAGAAGCCGUUCUUACCUG